rnacentral:misc_RNA from 1 species
AAAGUCUUGGUGGUUGUUUCAUUGCCAUUUCCACUCUUCUGCGUCUCUCUCUCAGGUCUCCAUAUUCAGUAGACUAAAAAUAAAAAUAAAAAUGGGUUCUGGCAAUAGCAGGUUAGGGUCGAGCCGUUCCAGGUCAGGGCUCAAGCGCAGAUUACUCUCUUCCCUCUUUUGUGGCUCCUCUGUUUCUCACACUCCUAUCCAGAUAGGUGAUCAUAUGGAUUAUUCAUCAACAGAGUCUACUCAAAACUUGACUCAGCAUCAUCAUGUGUCAGUUUGCGCCAAGCAGCAGUCUCCUUCAACCUUUCGACUGGAAACUGGGUUGAAUGAUUUCCACGAUGAAACUGGAAGCAGUAGUGUUUCUGUUGGGGAUACUUCCUUCACACAUAGUUUUAGCAAUCAUUCUGAGAAUUCGGAAUUACAUUCUCAGCAGGUCAAUGUUAAUGACAGUCUCAUUGAAGCUCCUCUAGAUGGUUCUUCCUUAAAAACUCAGCCACCUGCGGAGUCACUCUCUUCUGAUGCACCACUCACAAGCAUUGUGGGUCAGGAUACUGGGAAUCUACAUUCAGAUGGGGAGACCAUAGCAGAUGCGAGUAUGGAUGGCUAUACAGCUGAAUCUAGUUCUGAUGUAUCUGGUUCCUCUAUAAAUUCUCAGCCACUUCCAAGAUCUCUCUUAUUGUCUGGGGAACAAGGUUCAAUAGGCAUGGGCGUGCUUUUGGUUGAUGUGGUGAGUAUACAUUCCAACAUUUUGUCUAGUACCAUUGCAGAAAUUAGUAACCGUGAGGCUAGAAGGAAUACUAGAAGGAUGUUUUGGGAUGCUUUCUCAAGAAACAGUUCUAGGCGGAAUAGUGAUUUCCCAACUGUUGUUUUUACAACUAGUCAUGCUGAUGAUCUAGGAUCUCAUGACAGAUGGCUCCUUGAUUUUAGUGGUGAUCUUCAUUAUGAUGGCGCUGGUCGUGAGUCUAGAUACUCUGGCACUAGGAGUGAUCACAGAAGUGGACGACGAUGGCAAUCAAGAUAUGAGGUAAUAGAUAUCCCAUUUCUUUUUGUUAUAUGUGGUUAUAUGGGGUUAAUUUUCCAAUAACCCUUGAAAAGUUUUCACCAUGCAUAAAACUUUUUUACGUUCCAAGAUGCUCAUACUUGCCAUUCAUUUUUCUCAAAAUUGUUUUUUAUUUUCUUUUUCCAUCUGACAUUUGCUUCACAGAGUUUGCUAUCAUAAUUCAUUAUUUCAGAUGCCAGAAAGAUUUCAUGAUGUCUAUGAUGAGCAAGGCUGGCAAGGUUCUUUGUGUGCAAUGGGGCGUCAUCCACGCGGUACUUGUUCAUGUGAGUCCUCAUUCCUUGAUGAGGAGUCCGGUAGUCAUGCAAACAUUUCACAAUCACAAAUAUUCAUGCUUGCAGGUGCACUUUUUGAGGUGCUUGAGGAAAUUCAUCAACAUCGCAUGUCUCUUUCGCAGUCUAUGCUCACUCUUCCUGCUCCUGAUGCUGUUGUAAAUUCGUUUCCCCUCAAGAAUCAUAAAAAGCCAUUUGAAACUGAGAGUGGGAUGCGUGAUGCACAACAGUGUCACAUUUGCUUGGUCGACUAUGAGGAAGGGGAUGAAAUUAGAGUUCUUCCAUGUUCUCAUGAAUAUCACAUGUCAUGUGUUGAUAAAUGGCUCAAAGAAGUACAUGGGGUAUGUCCUCUCUGCAGAGAUGAUGUUUGCAAGGGUGUUGCUGAAGGUUCUACCUCAUACCGUGAGAUCCCAUCUCUUUGAUGCAUAUGCAUGCAAACAUGUAGAUAAAAACUUUUUUUCUUGAAAUGGCCUUUGAUGAAAGCUACUUGCUUAUAGAACAACCAAUAAGAUUUUAUACAACUUGCAAUGUAAUAAUAUGCCAUCUAAUAGUGUAGUGCUUGGAAAUGAGAAUUUACUAAUCAGAUAUCUAUUGCAGAUUAUAGUUACAUUUCAAUAGUUAUGGAUUAGGCUUUUGAAUUGUGUGAUAUUUCGUAUCAUUUUGAUUUGUAUGCCCCACAAACAUUGUUUAUUUAUAGCUGUUAUGCUAUCUUGACUAACAUGUGCAUUUAUUUCCUUUCUGUCGCUUAUUGUCCAAAAAGAUGGCACCCAUCAUCGUCCGUCCACCCCUUUAUAUAUCAUAUUGAGUUUUUGUUGAGAAAGUUCAAUCUACUAGCAAAUGGUUUGAAGAGAUGGGAUGGAUCAGAGAGAAGAUUGGUAAUGCAAUGCACUGAAGUUGAUAGGCGCUUGUAUCCCUUGUGAUUAUAUUGUGAAAUGCUCUAUGAAAUAGGUGAGGUUGGCAGCUGAAUCUUCGGAAACAAGAUAGUUGAAGCUUUGUGGAAGAUGAAGUUGGAAGAAGAAUUUCCCUUUUUGUCAUUUUGGGGAAGCAUUGACUUGAUUUUAGCUGAAAGGCCCAGAAAGGGUUUGGAUCAUGCUACUGUCAGCUGCAUUGACUAUUAUAGGCUCUUACUCAUGGUAACUAAAAACCUUCUGAUACCAAACAACAUAACAGUCUCACCGGAUGGAUAAAUGCAAUGGCAAUUCAU